rnacentral:rRNA from 1 species
CGAGAACUUUCAGAGAUGGAUUGGUGCCUUCGGGAACUCUGAGACAGGUGCUGCAUGGCUGUCGUCAGCUCGUGUUGUGAAAUGUUGGGUUAAGUCCCGCAACGAGCGCAACCCUUAUCCUUUGUUGCCAGCGGUCCGGCCGGGAACUCAAAGGAGACUGCCAGUGAUAAACUGGAGGAAGGUGGGGAUGACGUCAAGUCAUCAUGGCCCUUACGAGUAGGGCUACACACGUGCUACAAUGGCGCAUACAAAGAGAAGCGAACUCGCGAGAGCAAGCGGACCUCAUAAAGUGCGUCGUAGUCCGGAUUGGAGUCUGCAACUCGACUCCAUGAAGUCGGAAUCGCUAGUAAUCGUAGAUCAGAAUGCUACGGUGAAUACGUUCCCGGGUCUUGUACACACCG